rnacentral:lncRNA from 1 species
CAUUUGGGUUAGUUCCAAGUCUUUGCUACUGUGAAUAGUGCCACAAUAAACAUACAUGUGCAUGUGUCUUUAUGUAUUUACAGAGCACCUUGGGAGUGUUUUGCUUAUGUGAAUUCUAAGGGAGUAUUAGACGAUAUGUGAGGAAGACUUUAAACUCUUAGGAAGAAUGUAACUAUGCAAAUCAGAGUGUUGGCAUUAUUAAUGACAACAAUAGUUUUAUUAUACGUCAAGCACUUUGCCCUUCAAAAGAAAAAGGUUCUGCGAGUACAAAGAAGCAUAGUAGCAGCAAAAGUGGGUUCCCAGUGGAGGGCACUGCCAUUUCCCAGUGACCAGCGCACACCUUCUUUAUCUGGGGCAACAUGGAGGAUUGGUUGCCAUUUGAGUUAUUGUUUAAUUACAAGGCCAGAAACCCUCCCUUUUCCUCUCUCUCUUUCUUUUCUCUCCUUUGCUCCCACCACCUGUGCCCAACUGAAGACAGAGGCUCCCAAUUCAAGGGGGAACAGGCCCUUGUAUAAGCCCAGGCGAGCCAGCGGAAGCUUUCUGGCACUUAUUUGCUUUCUCAGCUUUAAAAACUCUGUCAUCUGAGACAGACCAAGUAAUUGCUAUGAAAUAAUCUGGGAAGUCACAUCUAGAGAUGAAGGGUAAAUGUAAGUUGCAGGCACUCACAUUCUCUUGCUGCUCUAGGGUAUAAUGGUCCAAUUUUGACCAGUGGAGAAGGCAACACCUUAAGGAGCAGCAUGGUACAGGGAGGAAAGCUCUGGGCUGGGAG